AACUGUCAAUUUCAUGAGCGGGGAUUGCAGUUUGCAUUGCGUAACAUGCACUUAAAUAAAUUGACAAUAUCGACAACAAAAAGGGGCAGGCACACGUGCCGUUCACCUGCGGCGAACAAAAGCAAAAAAUACAGAAAGUUCACUCACUAAGCCAGACAAUCGCUGAAAGGACUCAAAGGUUGACUGCUUCUUGUUUUUCCCAGGACACUGGCCUAGUUCUUUACCAUUUUCCCUCCCUUUGCAAGCACCCCCACACACACACACACACACUGCUGCACUGGCUAAAAGAAUUUUCCACUGACUUUUAGUUUUGAUUCACAAGUGCCCAGGUGAGUGCCGAUUUCCGUGCUGGACUCGAGAGCGCACUUCUUGUUUUGAUAUUUUUCAGUCUUUCUGUUUUUGCUCAACAAAUUGCAGCCCAAGUGCAAUUUGCAGUUCGAGUGGUGAUCUAGCAUAAUUUAGAUGGAUAUUUCAGAAAGAUACGCUGCACUCUUUUCUUUCAUGUCAUGGUGGAGGACAAAGUAAAGUCUGCGAUGCUUCAAGGAAUUCGUCCUUAAUUAAAAG